rnacentral:rRNA from 1 species
AACGAACGCUGGCGGCAUGCCUAACACAUGCAAGUCGAACGAGACCUUCGGGUCUAGUGGCGCACGGGUGCGUAACGCGUGGGAACCUGCCCUUAGGUUCGGAAUAACUCCCCGAAAGGGGUGCUAAUACCGGAUAAUGUCUUCGGACCAAAGAUUUAUCGCCUUUGGAGGGGCCCGCGUUGGAUUAGCUAGUUGGUAGGGUAAAAGCCUACCAAGGCGACGAUCCAUAGCUGGUCUGAGAGGAUGAUCAGCCACACUGGGACUGGGCCACGGCCCCGACUCCUACGGGAAGCAGCAGUGGGGAAUAUUGGGCAAUGGGCGAAAGCCUGAUCCAGCAAUGCCGCGUGAGUGAUGAAGGCCUUAGGGUUGUAAAGCUCUUUUACCCGGGAUGAUAAUGACAGUACCGGGAGAAUAAGCUCCGGCUAACUCCGUG